UAGUUAGUAGAUUGGUCAUGCCUCUGGUAUGUACUGGUUUCACUGAUUCCUCCUUCCUGAUGAACCGUAAUGCCAUUUAUUUGGUGUUGCGAGGAAUUUGGACUGUUACUUUGAAAAAAUUAGAGUGUUUAAAGCAAGCUAACGCUUGAAUACAUUAGCAUGGAAUAAUGAAAUAGGACGUUCGAUCCUAUUUUGUUGGUUUCUAGGAUCGACGUA
rnacentral:rRNA from 1 species